UGGUUUUGUCUGAAGUCAAACUUUCUUAAAUUUGACCAAAUUUAUAUAAAAUAUUAUCAAUUUUUGUGAUACCAAAUAAACAUACUAUGAAAAUAUAUUUUAUCAUGAAUCUAAUGAUACUUAUUUGGUUUUAUAAAAAAUAGUAAUUUUUUUAUAAAUUUGGUCAAACUUAAGAAAGUUUGACUUCAGACAAAACUAA
rnacentral:pre_miRNA from 1 species